GGGUUGUGAGGUUAAGCGACUAAGCGUACACGGUGGAUGCCCUGGCAGUCAGAGGCGAUGAAGGGCGUACUAAUCUGCGAUAAGCGCCGGUAAGGUGAUAUGAACCGUUAUAACCGGCGAUACCCGAAUGGGGAAACCCAGUGUGAUUCGUCACACUAUCAUUAACUGAAUCCAUAGGUUAAUGAGGCGAACCGGGGGAACUGAAACAUCUAAGUACCCCGAGGAAAAGAAAUCAACCGAGAUUCCCCCAGUAGCGGCGAGCGAACGGGGAGGAGCCCAGAGCCUGAAUCAGCAUGUGUGUUAGUGGAAGCGUCUGGAAAGGCGCGCGAUACAGGGUGACAGCCCCGUACACAAAAGCGCAUGUGCUGUGAGCUCGAUGAGUAGGGCGGGACACGUGGUAUCCUGUCUGAAUAUGGGGGGACCAUCCUCCAAGGCUAAAUACUCCUGACUGACCGAUAGUGAACCAGUACCGUGAGGGAAAGGCGAAAAGAACCCCGGCGAGGGGAGUGAAAAAGAACCUGAAACCGUGUACGUACAAGCAGUGGGAGCACAGGUUUACCUGUGUGACUGCGUACCUUUUGUAUAAUGGGUCAGCGACUUAUAU
rnacentral:rRNA from 1 species